GGGGUUGUGGCUCAGCAGUAGAGUGCUCACCUAGCGUGUGUAAGGCCCUGGGUUCCAUCCUCAGCACCACCA
rfam:Ictidomys tridecemlineatus contig104230, whole genome shotgun sequence.